rnacentral:lncRNA from 1 species
CAAAAAUAAGUCUUUUGAGGGACACUAGUCACCAGAACCGCUUAAUGCAGUCAGUCACUGCAGGCUUAUUAGUGUACAAACUGCCUAUUCUGAGAAAAAGCAGUAUUUACACUGCAGUCUACGAAUAUCUCUUGUGACAGUCACUCAAACUACCUCUAGAGCUGCAUCCUAAGUCAGGGCUGCAUAGUUUGAAGCACCUACGCUCUGCAUUGAAUGUUCCCUAUAGAGAUGAACUGAUUUAAUGCAUCUGAGGAGAUGCUGACUGGCACCCAAUGCAGUCCUAUUCGAUUGGCUGAGAGCUUCAAGAUUCUGGCUCCUGUCAUCACAGCAGGAAGACUACAGCUCCCCCACUGCCCGUCUCCAUUGCUUGCAGCCACCGGCCUUGAGGGCUGACAAACUGCACAAGGCAGCCAGUUCUCUAGCAAUGUUUCUUUAAACAGUCUCUGACAACAUCACCAAGAUAGCCUCAUGGUGGAAUCACAAAUGUUUACAUGGAUUCAGUCAGAAAUCUACAAUGGAUUUCUGGAAAAAGUCCUCUCCUUCCAUCACCGGGCAAGAACCACAGAUGCAAGUGGACCCUUCUAGACUUUCUAUUGGAAGGCAGCAAUUACCCAAUUCUGAGGAACUCCAACCUGUCUGCCACAGCACAUUUAAGGAAACAGGAUGUUCAAAUAAGAUACGAUAAUGCAACAACGUUAGAUGUAAAUCAACAAGAAGGGACCAGGUCCUCUACACUGACAAUUUAAACAAGACCAUCAAGCUCUGUGUCUUGAAUUGGAGGAACUGCUCCAAUUUCUUAUUGAUAAUACUCCGCUGUUCUGGCAGAAGGCCAAAUUCUAGGUGUAGGUAGUGCUUCUUGUAGGGGAAAGAAGAAUCUGGUAAAUUAAAGUGCCAGCAAAUUCUGCAGUGCUGUACAAUAGAUGGACUAAGACACAUUUGUAACCAGACAAGUUGGAUACAGUAAGAGAGGGCCCUGCUUAAUGAGCGUUCACUCAGGGCUAGUGUAUUGAUGACAGCUGCAGGAGAAGAGUCAGGGUGCGGGGAAAUUCUACUUGCUGUCCGUGACUAAAUGUUCUCUUCCCAAUGGCUAGUGAUCCUUAAUUUAACCAAGACUGGAAUAAUCAAUCUAAGCAUCAGGAUAAAUGCAGACCCUGCUGCUGGCUGGGUUCAUACCUCUGAUGCUUGCCUUAAAGACUUUUCUAGCCUUUCAUUCAGGAAAUCAUAUCAAUUAAACUUAACAGCUUUCCCUCCCCGCACCCUGACUGUGGACCCUCCAGGUAAGCAGAAACAAGUAACUUUAAAGGCCUAUCUAACCAAACAGGAAAUUACAUGUUCCACCCUAUGAGCAAUAGUAUGGAUUGGGAGAUAUCCCUGUAAUAAAACCGGUCAUUUUUAGGUUGGUAUUGGGGAGUAUCUAGGUAAGUAUAAUACAACCUGUAUUGGCAAAGGCUCUGCCUGUAUGUUACAGAUCGGUACAUUCCCAGACGCUGCAUUCUAAGCCCAUGGUGGCCCUUGUUUAUAAAAAGUAUGUGAUAUUUGUCCACAUCAGUGUUUGAGACUUUGAGCGCUAUUUACACUAACACACGGUACUGGGCAAUGCUAAUGCAGUCAAUGAUUAAUAUCACAACCUUUUACUUCUAAUUUAACAUUUCUAAGCCAUAAAUCACGUGAUUAUAGUGAC